GUGCUUAUCUGGCAAGCUCAACAUGCUCCUCAAGGUCAUUUUUAAGGCCAGACUUUGUUGGGGGGCAGAGUAGGGACUCAAAGCCAUGGCUUGCUCCAGCUGAGGGUCCCUACACCCCCCCUUGCGACUUGGGGGAGUCUCAUCCCCAGGAGCUGGAGGUGCUGGGAGAGGAUUGGACCGGCUGGGGAGCCUGCACCUCUUACAGCUCCCACCUGCAAGCUCCAAAACCUCAGGUUUAACUGCUUUCCCACCAGUCUUGCUUUCCCACACCCUGAUCCCAGGCAAGAGGCUGAACAGUAUUCGGGGUCUCUCCCAUUGCCUUAUAUCAAAUAACAUUUCUUCCCAUCUCCCAGGGCUUUCUUCCCUUGCUUGCAUCCCACCGGGAUACAGCUCCUGACCCCGGAUCUCGCACUAAGUGCAGACAGCAAGAGCCAUAAUCCCCCGGGGGCUGACAGCGGGGUUUAUAAAGCCCCGUGUCUUCCUUCGGCCAUUGCUGGCGGGUGGGAGGACGUUAACUGAGCUCCUGUGCGGACGCCUGUGGCAGGAACGGUGCCUGGGGAGGCAUUUGGUCCUCGUUAGCAGACGCUCGGUAGCUGUUUUGUCAUUUUUCUUGUUUGUCAUAAAAAAUAAAUACAGUUUAAUAGAUGAUCUUAACAGAGCAGGUUUUGGCAACAAAAUAGACCAUGUCCCAUUAUAAACUUGAUGUGUAUAAUUUAGAGCAAGAUGGAAUAUGAAACCAUUUCCAGCUCAGAUGAGGGAGAGGGAGACACAGACUUAGGUCUUGAUUGUGCUGAAAUGAAAAACAGUACAUUCCCGGAUAGUGUAUUAAAUCAGGCAUUCUGUUUUAUGGAGUCCAAACUAUAAAGAGCCUUUUUCAGAAUAAUUAAUCACAUCAUAUUUUUUUUUGCAGUUUGAAAAGUUUGGGGAGGGGAUUUCUCUUGUUUGUGUAUUUUUAGAAAUAAAUAUGUAUGCAGAAGAGCAGCCCUAAACACCACAGAAGAUUAUUUGGAGAUCAGGGAGGACUUUAAGGAGACAUUCCUGUCAAAAUCUCCUCCGUUAGCAGAGAUUUAAGGAAUGUCCCGACGAGCCCUUGGGAACGCCACACCUGAUGGGGAAGGCUGGGCUCUGGAGCCAAGGGCAGGGAUGUGGACCGGCGGUGGGAAGGUGAGAGGAAGAGGUAGUGAUGAGGCGGUGGUGUGCUGACCACCUCUGCUUUCCCAGGCCAGCGUUAAGGGCAGGUUAGUGGGGACUGGGGGGCUGGUGGGGGUGUCUGUCAGCAGAGGUUGCUCCUUGUCUGACCUCCUGGCCUGCCGCGUGCUCACCUUCCAGCCAGUUUGGAAAAACCUGCCCAUUGCUCUGACUUAAACUGCCGAGUUAAUUCUUACUGGGAUUAGAAACGGGACAGCUCUCCGCUAUCAGCGCUGUCUCCGUCAUCCCGCAGAGCUACGAGCAGAGGGCCCGAUCCCCCACCGCCGUAAAUCAGCACAGCUCUACUGGAGCUGGAAGAGGGAUGCGGAUUUCUGCCAAGGAAAGAGGGAGAUCCAAAGCGCAUUUCCUUCGUCCUCCCAUUGUGUAAAGCAACGCGGCUCCUCUGGUUUCGGAGCGGUGGGACUGGCUUGCCUCGGUCUGCUCUGGCUGCUCAAUUCUGAUUUCAGCAGAGCCAGUGUAAAUCCAAAACAGCUCUAGGGAAGUCAGUCGAGUUACUGGAGACUCGAGGCUAGAGGAGAUAGGAAACUAUUCACAGCUUGUACGUAGCUGUCGACAUUACAUGCAAAAAGCUGGCUGAAUGCAGCAACAACGUGCUACAGGCAGGGCGCUAAUCUCUUGUUGUUAUUAAGUUUCCUGACAUUUCCCAUUAUCGGAGCUUCUUUACAGUUCUGUACAGGACUGCAAAACCUUAAUCUUUGAGGCUGAAAUGCAUCACCUGUGUGCCAUCCAUGACAUGGGUGGUGCUGCCAGGUGAAAUCAUGCUUUUUCUGAAUUUUCUUAAGAGCUAGGGAGCUGCACAAACCCCAGCUGUGUUGACAGUAGCCACUGGUGAAGCUGCGGGGUCCUGCACCCCAGAGGAGUUCAAGCCAGCAUUCCUCCUGCCUGAGCAACCCUCGCUUGCGCCAUGCUGCCCGUGUGGGUAGGGGUUUUCAUACGUGGUUAUGUGCUGCUUUCCCUUCGGGACCUCUCCGCCCCCCUCCGGCAGCAGGAGCUGUGCCGAGGUACGCCGGCGUGAAGGCAGCUCUGAGAGAUGCAGCGGCAGGACCCCAUCCCCUAGGGCCAGCAGCAUCUUGUCUUAACCAUGCUAUGUGGCAUUAUCUACUCAUCCACACAACAGAUAACUCUCCAAGUCCUAUAGGAAACCUGUCCUGCGUCUGUAGCAAGAGGCUUUACGCUAAUGUGCGUGUACAAGAAGGUAAAACACCCUUUUUUUGAGCUGGAAGGUGACAAUGUUUUACUGGAAAACCAAACCCGUUUGCUUUGGCCAUGCUGCCGCCCGUCCUCAUGGCAGCUGUACUCCUGCUGCCGUUCCCUGUUGGGGAACUUAAUGCCAGAGGUGUGGUGGCAAUAUGUUGGAGCUGAAACGUAUCGGCUUCGUGCCAAAAUAAGUCACUUAGGGUUGUUUGGCUUUUUUUUUUUUUUCCAAUGAAAAAUCAGAAUUUCCUCUGCAAGAUGAGACAUGAUUUCAGUGGGGUGGGGGAGGAUGGAGUGGUGGUGGUGCGGGAAGAGGAAAUAACUUUCUUUAAAAAACAAAAAAAAACCCAACCUAAAAAUGACUUUUCCUUUGCAAAAUAAAUUUUAUGACACAUUUUUCUACCAGCCCUGAUUUUGAACAGUAUUAGCAGUUUGGUGCCAGCCCGAUGAGUGCUGGAACAGCUCGUAUUGCUAUAGGAAAGAGGUAUAAAUCCUAGCACCGAAUCUGAGGCUGGCAAUGGGCCUUUCUCGCUGGGACCCUGUGUUCCAAGGUUCCUCCUGUGCGGAAGCAGGAGAGACCAUCUCAGUGGGCUCAGUGCACAAGGCCGUGGUCUUCUCACAGCUGUAUUAGAAAUACAAAUCCUGCAAUGAACCAUUCAAGCAUAGAAGUGCAUUUUUGGCUACCAGAUGGCUGAUAAAAUAAUUGUGUGAGUAGACAGCUGAGUUAGUGAUGGGAUUAGAUAACAAUCUAAUUUGGACAGAAAUUGUUCCUAAAGGGCCCGGUUUGGGCUUCCCACGUGUCGUAUUGCAAAGGCCCAUGAUAUCGUGUUGCAUCUGCUUGGGAACAGCCACCUCCUGUCACCAGAGAUGCUUGUGGAGUUGCAGGACGGUGACUUACGGGGAAGGGCGGCCUUGCAUUUCAGAUGCAAGGCUUGAGUUCCGUUCCUGGCUCUACACUACAGUUUAUCUUGCCCACAUGUUGGCCUUCUUGUGCCACCAGCAAGGCUGGAGCCACGGUGGUGUCCGGGGUGGGACCUCCCUGGACCCGUUCGUAUUUUAUUAAUAAGCCAGAAGAGAGCUGCAGGCUCCAGAUGCCGUUACAGCUGACGAAUGGGGUCAGGGUGCACGUGCUCCGAGCCGCCGUGAGCUCUGGCCGUUUGUCAUCCCCAAACCCAAAGAGGAAAAAACACAAUUUUCAGGACAUAAAGAGCAGAAAAGGUUUCACUGCUCGCUGGUUUGCUUGAAGCAAGCGGAUCAAUACCACUUGAUACAUAACUAAAUAAAACCAAGCCAGACGCCAGCUUGCUGGAUCCUCAGCGAUAUAUUUUGUGGCUGAAAAGGUGGCUUUUAUUCUUGGAAAUGGCACUGUUUUCCCUCUUUUGUGGGUAUUAAGGGAAAGAAAUGGGAACUUUUCUGUUCUACGUGGUUUUGCCUGGCUUUUGUUGAAUGACCCCCUGAACGCUGGUUAUCAGCACCUGAGCUCCUGCCCCUGGUGCAAGGCUGGUGCAGUUUCACUGUAGUUGCUUGUCCGUGAGCAGGUUUGAUCCCGAGGAGUGAUGGUGAAUAGAGGAUUUGCUCUCACGGAAAGAACAGCUGGCGGUUCACUACAUUCCCAAGCGAAAUUUAUGGAGAGAAAGGAGGUAUUGAGCAGGUGUCUUCUGUGGAAAAAUAUCUUGUGAAACUGAAAUUUUCCAGUUUGCUAUUUUUUGUUAGAGUAUUUCAUGAAGCAUUUUAUGGAGUUUUGGGCCACUGACUGGCCUUUCUCCACCACUGUGGGAGUAUUUUUCUUGAUCAUAAACCCUACUUUUCCUUUGGGCUUCUCUUUCUCAAAGCACGGCCCAGAGCAUAGCCUUCUCCUCAAUCUGUGCAGUGGAUUCCUGAUGGAAAAUGAUGUCCUCGAGCUUUGGUAGCAAGAAGGACCUACACGUUUCUUGUACACCUGUUCCUGUGGAGCCAUGAGAGGAGGAUGGUUUACAACCAGGUGAGAUCUAACACUGGCAAACAUGGCUGACUUUUGGUGGAUCUAGAGACGUUCCCGGUGUGAUGGAGCCUCCAACCUCCACCUCCCUGGCUAGCAGGGCUGUGACGACUGAGCCGCAUCCCUGGGCACUGGCUCCGUGUCCUCCCCACCUCACCGGUGUUGCACUAAGAGGGGUCAGCAGGGAGCUGAGUGCUCUGCGAUGAUGGAGACCUCGUGUUCAUUUCCCCUCCUUGCUGGUGAGCUGUGCGUGUCCCAGGGAGCAGUGCGGGAUCAAGCAGCUGGUGGGAACCAACUGGUUGUGCUGAAGUAAUGACAAUCUCUGGCGUAUGAGCUCUGAGAAGCUCCGCUGUUAUGUGCUCUGCCCCCAGAAUGAGUAAAUAAAAGCCUCCUCAUUUAUUCAUGAUGCAAAUAGCAACUGUGCAUUCAGCUCUAGGAUUUGUUGAUUAUUUAUUUAGAGGCCCUUGUCUCAGAGGCACUGGCUCUUUGCGUGCAGGAGGCAUCUGUCUGGGUUUAUUACCCACAAAUAGACAUUUUGCUUCUUGGGCUGUGGCUGCUAAUGAUUUGGAAGCCUGCUGUGGAAAGGAAAACCUUCCAGGGAGACACAGAUCUCCUGGUCCUUCCUCUUCAGGGUCAACAGCAGCAGCUCAUGGUUCCACCAGCCCCUCCGAAAAUCCCAGCAGCGCCGUGUCCUGCUCCUGUGGAGCAGUUGAACGCUGAGCUCCUUCGGGUGUGUUUUUUACUGUGAUAGCACCAGAAGGUGAUGGCUGAAAUCCAGUUUCUGUAGGUCCUUGGCCUCAGAAGGUUAAAGGGAAGGUGGGUAGGAGAUGGAUACGGGCAGGCAUGAAGACAUAAGACACUAAUGUACUAGUAAUGGUUGCUUGGGACCUCCUUCCUCUCCCCCUACAAUGGGAGACAGAGUGUCCCUGUGUACCAGAAGCGCUGGAUUUGUCUUGUCUGGUUGUGGGACACACAAAGAAGCUUUUCUGGGUUUCCAGAGACUGGGGAGUGAACCGUUGUUCCCCUGGGACAAGGUGCCUUUCAAUACUCCUGGUUCUUCUCAGGUUGGUGGCUGAUAAAAUUUUGGCACUUGGCUUUAGGAAGCUAAUGACACUUAUUGGAUACCCCCUUCUCGGGUCAUCCCCUUGGCUUUGACAGUUGAUGGAGCGCAAGUGCUUCUACAAGAGUGCCUCGUUAGCGAUCCAUGGCAUGGACCAGACCUCGGCUCCAAAGCUUUGCUGGCUCAACAUGGAAAUGCAGCUCUCCUGGGAGGAGAGGUUCCCCGUGCCUUCUGAGUCCCAGCCAGCUCCUUCCGCAGUCUCAUCUGGCUCUUUGGAGACUGAACCUUUCAGCUUGAAACUGCCUCAGUGACUGCUAAGGGCUGGCCGGACCCACCAGCUGCAGGACACUAGCUUGCCCCUCGUCUGACAGCAAGGAGACGGGGUCAGAAAUGACCAGGACCUUGCUGUGCUUGAUAUGAGUUGAUGUGGAUGAUGCACGAAUACAAACCGUUGCAGUCUGGAAGCAGUUCUGCAGCACCUAACCUGAGCACAAGGAUGCCAAGUGCAUGAAUCUUCAAACAGGACCUUAUGUAUAGAGAGCUUUCUGCCAAAAGGUAGCAGGGAAUUUGAUGUAAAAACAGAAAUACGCUUCAGUUGCCUUGGAAUACAAUAUCCUCCUGAGCUGGCUUGCAUAUCGCUUCACAGAGAUCAGCUGUCCACCAAACUACCAAUACAUCCCAAACUUGGCUGCGUUUCAGUGCUUGUGGGAUGUAGUAUAAAAAGAAAAGGAGGAUGAUUGAGUGUCUCUGUUUCCAAUUGACCAUGGUGCAAAGUGCCUAAAUCUAAGCCUGAGGAUGGAGCUACACCCUCUGUAUAUGGGUGGUUAUAGGAGUUCUUGGUGUCAUUUCUGGCUGGAGAUGGGUGUGGUGGUGCUGGAAAGGAACAAGAGCUUGGAAAAGGAGUUUCCAACAGGGAGUAGCCAAAGGAAACGGGUAGUUUUUAUGCCGAUAAAUUGGAACUGGGAUUACAAAGGCAGAGAAUAAUUCUUAUGCUCUGAAGCUCAUUCAUCUGCUUAAUUCUGGGUUCGGGUGGUUGGUACGGGAAAGGAUGGUGGCCAAGGGCUGAGCACAGAAGUCCCCAAACCCCAUGUCUGACAGAAUUAUUCGUUUUUCUUAACUGAGCAGUGUGUGCGGGCAGCUCUGAGCAAGGAAUAUGCUGAGCGUGAUGGCUGGUGCUUGCCAGUGCCCAGAGACGCCAUGGGUGUGCGUGGGGGAAGAAGGGCUGGGAGGAAGGAGGAGGUGGAAAAGCCGCACUGCUCCAAGGCCAAGGUGGGGAUGGAGCAGAGAAGGGGCGUGAAGGACAAAUAACACUUCUGCAAGAGCAAGCCAUAUAGAAACAGCUGGUGCACUCCAGUUCCUCGAUGUCUCCCCACCUGCAGCUCCCUUGAACCUUCCCUUUCAUCCCUUCAAUCUUUAUUUCAUUUGAUUAAUAAAAAACUUCUUUCCUUCUCCCAGCAGAGAUACUGGAGCACAGCCCACGGGUUGGGAGUGGAGGGAGGGAAUAGCUGCAGCUUGGCUUCUGCUCUCUGACCACCAGCCAGCUCCCUAUCUCGGGAUGGAUCCAGCAGGAGCACGGGAGCUCGCAUCCAAGAAGCCCCGGUGCUCUGCCAGGGCCACACAGGUAGCAAAGAGCCUGAUAGAAAGUCAAGUGCAACAUCUGGGAGUCUUUUUUUUUUUUUUCCUGUUGCCUCCCCUGUAUUUCAGAGCAGUAACUCUGAUGUGCAUGGAGGGCUUGCCAGAGCUCAAAAUGCUCCAGUCUCCCACACGAACACCCCUGUGUGUGCACAAACGCAUGCCUGAGUCUGUCUAGGAAACCUGGAUCAGAGGACAGCAACUAUAUUCUGGAGUAAUAUGUUGCCUGUGAGACCCUGAGGUCCGUUUAGGAGGGCGAACAGCAGGCUGUUCCAUUUAGCUCUUUGUUCAGCCUCGGUGCUGCUGCCCCAGGGCAGAACGGGCCGGGGACUACCAAUUCGGGGAACUUGUCGUUCUCCCUUCUCCUCCUUCUCCUGCGUCCUCCCCUAAGAGUCUGAAACUGCAGCUAGUAGAUAAAGGAAGAUAAGCCAAAAUACUCCAGUGAGAAGGAAACGGAUCCAGGCAAGGGGGAAUUGGCUUCCCCUGCUGUGCAUCAGUGAUGCCCCACAGACUGCUAUGUAAUUUGCUUUCCCGUCUGCAUCCCGGAUGGUCUCGGGCUCCUUUGCAGGGAGUAGGAAUCUGCCCUCCUGCUCUCCCCAUAAGCCCUUGCCUGGCAGCACGGCUCUCGUCUGGAAACAGUCGGCAUCGCUAAAGGGCUGUGCAGUCUUAACAGUUUGUGAUGGUUUUUCCUGGUGCCUGUACAAGCCUUGGUGGGAUGGAGACAAGCAGAAACCUUCCUGACAGCCAGUGCUCAGGCAGGGAAGCAGGAUGCUGCUGGGAAGCAAAAGAGAAAAUAGAGCCCGUGGGAGAGGAAGGAAAAGGCUAAGGCAGGCUCAAGACACGGAGCAUAGUUUUAGGGCAACAGAGCUGGCUGUGGCGGUCGAGGACAGACGGGUUGGCUUCCUGAGCCCACAGAGCCCCAUCCCUGUAACUGGGCGUUUUGGGCCAUAUUGACCCCCUACACAGCAGCGAAAAAUGGUUUAGUUCCCACUUGUUCUGUGUUUGCAAAUCAAGUACCUUAAUAGGAGCCACAAGCUCGGGGAAGGGGUUUAACUCUUGUUUACUUGUCCAAAGGCUGGUCUGGCAAUAGAAGCGUUGACUGAACCGUCCUUAGUCUGGCAGGGACAGGGCUGCCUCGCGCAGGGCUCGCCUUGCUGGGCGAUUUGCAGUGCUGCAGGUGCCCAAUUUUCUUGUGUUUUAGGACGUUCAGGAAGAAAAGUGCAGAAUCCCUUCUUUGUGUAUUCAGAGGGCAAGGAUUUGAUACCAAGGAUGGGCUCAUACAAAACUUGGCCUCAGUUUUGGUAACGGUCUCUGAAUGAACCAUCGGUAACAGCGAGCCUCUGCCACCAGGCAAACACAGCCAUGGAUUUCACGAGUGGAAUUGAGGCAAACAGUUGCAAACCUCUGUCUGGAUGCGGCAGCGUUCGGUGUUUGUAUUUCUUACUGGUGUUAUUCCUGUUCCUGGUCUUACUUUGCAUUAUUUAUCCCCAUCUUUGGUGGCUGUACUUAGCAGUGGUUGCAGAGAUGACUGCAGAAUGUUAAGAAGUCCAGAUCUGCAAAUUUUUUUCAUGAAUGCAGUCGCAAAGUAGAAUUUGGUGGUUGCAAAGUGGUAAUGAUGGUGGUUCAAGAAAUGAGCACAUGCCUCAGAUCGGAUGCAUUUCAGGAGGGGCAGUUAAGCAUCUACAGUGCAUCCAGUAAAGUUUGUUAGUAACUAUUUCCAACUUCUUUCUUCCCGAGAGAUGAGUUAUCCAGCCUGGGAAUGGGAGCGCUGCCAUGUGACUCGACUGAGUAAUCACUAAUAUCAGUAAAUAGCUUAAAUAGAUAAUUUCCUAACAAAAGAACUAGCAAAUUAUGUUCCUGUGAGCCAUCCAGCUAAGAGACGGUGAUGGAAGUGAAAAAAAAUAAUUUCAGGAAUUAAUUGUGAGCAGAGAAGGAGGCCAGUGUCAGUGGUGCAGGAAAGACACAAGGGGCAAAAAAACCCGAUGGGAAAAUAUAAUUUAAACAUCCACAGAAGACAUGCAAAUGCAGCCGUUUGCUCAAUGAGGGGCCUCUGGAUUUUUUUCUAAUGAACUCUAAUGCAAAGAGGAAAUUAAAGAACUCUGUUUUCCACUCUGCCCGGUUGCAGAGCGUCUGCGCGGGAGCGGGGCCGGUGCCAGGGAGGAGCGCGUAGUGCCUGCCGGCGGGGGAGGGACUGGGCCGAGAAGGAAAGCUCCUGCUCGCAGGCUGACAAACGGGACUUGUCAGGGAAGCUUUGACCGAGUACUCUUGUUUGUUAAGGAAAGCAAACAACUAAUUCAACAAAACGGAAACUUUAAGCAGGAGAGGAUCAGCCUGGAUAAACUUCUUGACCGAGUGUUUUUGUUUUUUCUUUUUCUGAAAGGCUCUUCCAAGAUGGUCCAAUAGCUGAGACCAUUUCUGUUUUGAAAUAGCAACAUCCAGUUUUCUAGUCCGUAACACUUUUCAUUUUGAAUUGUAAGCUAAGUGUAGCAUGAAUGGGGCUUCUUUGCCGAAGGUUUGGGAGAAUUGAAACCAAAUGUUUAAAAAGUUAUCUAUCCAAAAUGCUUGGCUUGACUGAACUCAAACGACUGGUGUUUUUAAAAAGUUAUAAACAAUAUUGAAAUUCUGA